CGCUAUCACUCCUACGGGGACGGCAGCAGUAGGGAAUCUUCCACAAUGGGCGCAAGCCUGAUGGAGCAACACCGCGUGAGUGAAGAAGGGUUUCGGCUCGUAAAGCUCUGUUGUUAAAGAAGAACACGUAUGAGAGUAACUGUUCAUACGUUGACGGUAUUUAACCAGAAAGUCACGGCUAACUACGUGCCAGCAGCCGCGGUAAUACGUAGGUGGCAAGCGUUAUCCGGAUUUAUUGGGCGUAAAGAGAGUGCAGGCGGUUUUCUAAGUCUGAUGUGAAAGCCUUCGGCUUAACCGGAGAAGUGCAUCGGAAACUGGAUAACUUGAGUGCAGAAGAGGGUAGUGGAACUCCAUGUGUAGCGGUGGAAUGCGUAGAUAUAUGGAAGAACACCAGUGGCGAAGGCGGCUACCUGGUCUGCAACUGACGCUGAGACUCGAAAGCAUGGGUAGCGAACAGGAUUAGAUACCCUGGUAG
rnacentral:rRNA from 1 species